CCGCGCCGAUCGCUUCCUUUACGAAAUAUCAAAGAUUCCCCACUACGAGUAAAGGCUGAAGAGUCUCCACUACAGGAAGCGCUUUAUGCCGACGGUCAACGAUCUUAUACACCGCAUCGCCAGUGUAAUAGAGGCGUACCGCGUAGUGGCUAGUUCCCGACGUCUGCGAAAGCUCCUUGAGCUGAUUCUGGCUAUGGACAACUACAUGAACCGCAGGGCGCGUGGCCGACACCAAGUCCAGUGCCGCCAAGGGCACCACC